AUGAUAUAUGCUACCCAUAUCCCCAAAAAGGAGCGGGAGCGCGCACUAAGGGACGUCUAUGCGAUGGAGCCAGUCGCCCCAAAAUACAACCCGUGGUCCUCCUGUUCGAUCACUUUCGAUCGAAGGUACCAUCCGACUAAUAUCCGUCAUGGCGGUUCAGCCACACUGGUGCUAGACCCUAUCAUUGACGGAUUCCACCUCACACGUGUCCUCAUGGACUGUGGUAGCAGCCUGUACCUGCUCUAUCAGGAUACAGUGCGCAAAAUGGGUAUUGAUCCCUCAAGAAUCAAGCCCAACAAAACCACCUUUAAAGGUGUCAUACCAGGUGUAGAGGUCUGUUGUACAGGCUCAAUAUCACUGGAAUUGGUCUUCGGAUCCCCGGAUAGUUUCCGAAGCAAAAAGUUAAUAUUCGAUAUCGUCCCCUUCCGUAGUGGUUAUCACGCACUACUCGGACGAAUUGCAUUCGCUCAUUUCAAUGUGGUGCCGCACUAUGCCUACCUUAACCUUAAGAUGCCUGGACCUUAUGGUGUUAUAACGGUCAACGGAAAUACGAAGCACUCCCUCUGUACUGAGGAGCACAUCGCAGCCCUUGCUGCAGAAGUACAGAAUAGCCUUCUUAGGCAAAACCUCAAUUCGGCAAUAAAGCCCCCGUACACCAUCAAGCGAGUCCGAGCUACUCUGCAACAGGACCGUCCGACUUGUCUAGAGAUCCGCUAG
rnacentral:rRNA from 1 species